rnacentral:rRNA from 1 species
AGCGAACGCUGGCGGCAGGCCUAACACAUGCAAGUCGAACGGAUCCUUCGGGAUUAGUGGCGGACGGGUGAGUAACACGUGGGAACGUGCCCUUUGGUUCGGAACAACUCAGGGAAACUUGAGCUAAUACCGGAUGUGCCCUUCGGGGGAAAGAUUUAUCGCCAUUGGAGCGGCCCGCGUCUGAUUAGCUAGUUGGUGAGGUAACGGCCCACCAAGGCGACGAUCAGUAGCUGGUCUGAGAGGAUGAUCAGGCACACUGGGACUGAGACACGGCCCAGACUCCUACGGGAGGCAGCAGUGGGGAAUCUUGCGCAAUGGGCGAAAGCCUGACGCAGCCAUGCCGCGUGAAUGAUGAAGGUCUUAGGAUUGUAAAAUUCUUUCAGCGGGGACGAUAAUGACGGUACCCGCAGAAGAAGCUCCGGCUAACUUCGUG